GGGUGAUUAGCUCAGCUGGGAGAGCACCUCCCUUACAAGGAGGGUGUCGGCGGUUCGAUCCCGUCAUCACCCACCA
rnacentral:tRNA from 6 species